GGCCUCGUGGUCUAGUGGUAUGAUACUCGCUUAGGGUACACCCUCAAGCUCCGUUUGCGAGUGGUCCCGGGUUCGAGUCCCGGCGAGGCCC
rnacentral:tRNA from 1 species